rnacentral:lncRNA from 1 species
UGUUGGACCAGUGCGGACGCGUCCUGGAGUUCGGGUCGAAUCCUGAGUGGAGGCUGUAGCGCGGACGCGGCUUCCGUUUCCCCGGCGAUGUUGUCCUGGACUGAAGAGCCUGACUGGAGUGCAUGUUACUGCCGACAAAGUUUCAGAACACCGGCCAGCGCAAGACCACCUACAUCAGACUGAGAUACAACGGCAGUGAUCCUGGAUUUGCAGGGCCAGGAUAAACAAGGGACUGUAGAGACCAUUUUGUCCCAUUCAUUAAUUUUUAGGCAGAACACAGAUCUAGAGAGAAUAGAUGACUUGCCCCAAGCUACCCCGCGAAGGAGGAGGAGGGCCACGGAUAGUGUGCUUCGAGAAUCUUAACUCUUCGGGAUCAACCUCUCCUUCUACGCCAAGGAAACAGGAUCUUCCUGCAACCCCCGAGACAACCACCGAACAGUCACCCAACUUAGCACUAGGGCCCAGACGUUCCGUCGAUCGAAUGUACGAUGCUCGAUUUCUAGGUCUUUAGUACAACGCAGGAUAAGUCGAUUGGUC